rnacentral:rRNA from 1 species
UUCCGGUUGAUCCUGCCGGAGGCCAUUGCUAUUGGAGUCCGAUUUAGCCAUGCUAGUUGUACGAGUUCAGACUCGUAGCAGAUAGCUCAGUAACACGUGGCCAAACUACCCUCUGGAGCGCGACAACCUCGGGAAACUGAGGCUAAUCGCACAUACCGCUCUCAGGCUGGAACUGCCGAGAGCGCGAAAUGCCCCGGCGCCAGAGGAUGUGGCUGCGGCCGAUUAGGUAGACGGUGGGGUAACGGCCCACCGUGCCAGUAAUCGGUACGGUCAUGAGAGUGAGAGCCCGGAGACGGAAUCUGAGACAAGAUUCCGGGCCCUACGGGGCGCAGCAGGCGCGAAACCUUUACACUGCACGACAGUGCGAUAAGGGGACUCCAAGUGCGAGGGCAUAUCGUCCUCGCUUUUCAGUACCGUAAGGUGGUGCUGGAAUAAGAGCUGGGCAAGACCGGUGCCAGCCGCCGCGGUAAUACCGGCAGCUCGAGUGAUGACCGCUAUUAUUGGGCCUAAAGCGUCCGUAGCCGGCCAGGUAAGUCCAUCGGGAAAUCUCCCCGCUUAACGGGGAGGCGUCCGGUGGAAACUGCCUGGCUUGGGACCGGAAGACCAGAGGGGUACGUCUGGGGUAGGAGUGAAAUCCCGUAAUCCUGGACGGACCGCCGGUGGCGAAAGCGCCUCUGGAGGACGGAUCCGACGGUGAGGGACGAAAGCUAGGGUCACGAACCGGAUUAGAUGCCCGGGUAGUCCUAGCCGUAAACGAUGUCUGCUAGGUGUGCCACAGGCUACGAGCCUGUGGUGUGCCGUAGGGAAGCCGUGAAGCAGACCGCCUGGGAAGUACGUCCGCAAGGAUGAAACUUA